GAUGAACGCUGGCGGCGUGCCUAAUACAUGCAAGUCGAGCGAACGGACGAGAAGCUUGCUUCUCUGAUGUUAGCGGCGGACGGGUGAGUAACACGUGGAUAACCUACCUAUAAGACUGGGAUAACUUCGGGAAACCGUAGCUAAUACCGGAUAAUAUUUUGAACCGCAUGGUUCAAAAGUGAAAGACGGUCUUGCUGCCACUUAUAGAUGGAUCCGCGCUGCAUUAGCUAGUUGGUAAGGUAACAGCUUACCAAGGCAACGAUGCAUAGCCGACCUGAGAGGGUGAUCGGCCACACUGGAACUGAGACACGGUCCAGACUCCUACGGGAGGCAGCAGUAGGGAAUCUUCCGCAAUGGGCGAAAGCCUGACGGAGCAACGCCGCGUGAGUGAUGAAGGUCUUCGGAUCGUAAAACUCUGUUAUUAGGGAAGAACAUAUGUGUAAGUAACUGUGCACAUCUUGACGGUACCUAAUCAGAAAGCCACGGCUAACUACGUG
rnacentral:rRNA from 1 species